rnacentral:tRNA from 1 species
GGUAAAAUGACUGAGUUUAAGUGAUAAAUUGUAAAUUUAUAAACGAAUAAUAAUAUUCUUUUACCA